rnacentral:misc_RNA from 1 species
AAGUCGUAACAAGGUUUCCGUAGGUGAACCUGCGGAAGGAUCAUUACUAAAAUCUUAAGAGGCUUACUUUUUAAGUCUUGAAUCAACUUGUGAACUUGCUUUACAUUGUUAAACCAGUUGUAAACUUCUAGUCUUAAAUAAAUCUUUUCUAAAUUAACGUUUAGAAAAAUGUCUUAAUGACAAAACAACUUUCAGCAAUGGAUCUCUUGGCUCUU